rnacentral:rRNA from 1 species
GAUGAACGCUGGCGGCGUGCCUAAUACAUGCAAGUCGAGCGAACAGAUGAGGAGCUUGCUCCUCUGACGUUAGCGGCGGACGGGUGAGUAACACGUGGAUAACCUACCUAUAAGACUGGGAUAACUUCGGGAAACCGGAGCUAAUACCGGAUAAUAUAUUGAACCGCAUGGUUCAAUAGUGAAAGACGGUUUUGCUGUCACUUAUAGAUGGAUCCGCGCCGCAUUAGCUAGUUGGCAAGGUAACGGCUUACCAAGGCGACGAUGCGUAGCCGACCUGAGAGGGUGAUCGGCCACACUGGAACUGAGACACGGUCCAGACUCCUACGGGAGGCAGCAGUAGGGAAUCUUCCGCAAUGGGCGAAAGCCUGACGGAGCAACGCCGCGUGAGUGAUGAAGGUCUUCGGAUCGUAAAACUCUGUUAUUAGGGAAGAACAAAUGUGUAAGUAACUAUGCACGUCUUGACGGUACCUAAUCAGAAAGCCACGGCUAACUACGUG